ACUUGAAUGUAACCGCACUUAAUGGGUUUUAAGAUGAUCACCUAUUGGGGCGAGUCUUGUAAAGAG
rfam:Peptoniphilus coxii strain DNF00729 genomic scaffold Scaffold258, whole genome shotgun sequence.